GUUUUCCAGCAGUCACUGAUGCAGCUUGUUUUCCAAGGGAAUCCCAGCUUGGACGUGGCUGUAGUUGUGCUUGGAAGUUGAGAGCCAGCUUGGGGUGUUGGAGACUGCCACUGUGAGUAGGUGGGCAUGCACGCUGCUAAAGGUUCCCCCUAAAUUGGGUACAAAUUCGGUCAUAUCCCUCCAGCUGUUCGUAAGAGUCCUCAGAGAUCUCAGACUCCAUUGCAUGUUGGAUGUCA